CAGUCAGUAGCUCAGUGAUUGAGAGCGUCGGGUUUGGGACCGAAAGGUACCAGGUUCGAAUCUGGCUGGCCCCAGA
rnacentral:tRNA from 1 species